rnacentral:rRNA from 1 species
AGGAUGAACGCUAGCGACAGGCUAACACAUGCAAGUCGAGGGGUAACAGGGUAGCAAUACCGCUGACGACCGGCGCACGGGUGAGUAACGCGUAUGCAACCUGCCUAUAACUGGGGAAUAGCUCCCUGAAAGGGGAAUUAACACCGCAUAACACUAUUGAUUCGCAUGGAUUGGUAGUUAAAUGUAGCGAUACAGGUUAUAGAUGGGCAUGCGUGACAUUAGCUAGUUGGUGAGGUAACGGCUCACCAAGGCUACGAUGUCUAGGGGUUCUGAGAGGAAGGUCCCCCACACUGGUACUGAGACACGGACCAGACUCCUACGGGAGGCAGCAGUGAGGAAUAUUGGUCAAUGGGCGCAAGCCUGAACCAGCCAUGUCGCGUGCAGGAAGACUGCCCCUAUGGGUUGUAAACUGCUUUUAUAGUAGAAGAAACACAUCUACGCGUAGAUGUCUGCCAGUAUACUAUGAAUAAGCAUCGGCUAACUCCGUGCCAGCCGCCGC